rnacentral:rRNA from 1 species
GAUGAACGCUGGCGGCGUGCUUAACACAUGCAAGUCGAACGGAACUACUCCAAUGGGAGUCUUCGGAAAGGAUUUGGUUUAGUUUAGUGGCGGACGGGUGAGUAACGCGUGGGUAACCUGCCCUAUACAGGGGGAUAACAGUUGGAAACGACUGUUAAUACCGCAUAAGCGCACAGGAGCGCAUGCUCCGGUGUGAAAAACUCCGGCGGUAUAGGAUGGACCCGCGUCUGAUUAGCUGGUUGGCGGGGUAACGGCCCACCAAGGCGACGAUCAGUAGCCGGCCUGAGAGGGUGAACGGCCACAUUGGGACUGAGACACGGCCCAAACUCCUACGGGAGGCAGCAGUGGGGAAUAUUGCACAAUGGGGGAAACCCUGAUGCAGCGACGCCGCGUGAGCGAAGAAGUAUCUCGGUAUGUAAAGCUCUAUCAGCAGGGAAGAAAAUGACGGUACCUGACUAAGAAGCCCCGGCUAACUACGUG